rnacentral:rRNA from 1 species
UAAGGAAUAUUGGACAAUGGAGGCAACUCUGAUCCAGCCAUGCCGCGUGAAGGAAUAAGGCCCUAUGGGUUGUAAACUUCUUUUAGACGGGACAAAACCCCCUUACGUGUAAAGGGUUGAUGGUACUGUCAGAAUAAGCAUCGGCUAACUUCGUGCCAGCAGCCGCGGUAAUACGAAGGAUGCAAGCGUUAUCCGGAAUUAUUGGGUUUAAAGGGUGCGUAGGCGGACUAAUAAGUCAGUGGUGAAAGCCUGCAGCUUAACUGCAGAAUUGCCAUUGAUACUGUUAGUCUUGAGUACAGUUGAGGUAGGCGGAAUGUGUCAUGUAGCGGUGAAAUGCUUAGAUAUGACACAGAACACCGAUUGCGAAGGCAGCUUGCUAAGCUGUAACUGACGCUGAGGCACGAAAGCGUGGGGAGCAAACA